GGCGCUGUAGCUCAGGAGAUAGGAGUGCUGGCCCUGCAAGUCUGGGGUGGCGAGUUCGAACCUCGCCUGGGCCU
rnacentral:tRNA from 1 species